UUGGAGGGCAAGUCUGGUGCCAGCAGCCGCGGUAAUUCCAGCUCCAAUAGCGUAUAUUAAAGUUGUUGCAGUUAAAAAGCUCGUAGUUGAAUUUCGGGGUUAGUAGGUUGGUCGUGCCUCAGGUAUGUACUGAUCUCACUGAUUCCUCCUUCCUGAUGAACCGUAAUGCCAUUAAUUUGGUGUUGCGGGGAAACUGGACUGUUACUUUGAAAAAAUUAGGGUGUUUAAAGCAGGCUAACGCUUGAAUACAUUAGCAUGGAAUAAUGAAAUAGGACGUUCGAUCCUAUUUUGUUGGUUUCUGAAUCACCGUAAUGAUUAAUAGGGAUAGUUGGGGGCAUUAGUAUUCAAUUGUCAGAGGUGAAAUUCUUGGAUUUAUUGAAGACUAACUACUGCGAAAGCAUUUGCCAAGGAUGUUUUCAUUAAUCAAGAACGAAAGUUAGGGGAUCGAAGACGAUCAGAUACCGUCGUAGUCUUAACCAUAAACUAUGCCGACUAGGGAUCGGACGAUGUUAACUUUUCUUGACUCGUUCGGCGCCUUACGGGAAA
rnacentral:rRNA from 1 species